rnacentral:rRNA from 1 species
GGCUCUUUGCCUAUCGAUUAUAAAGAGUCUGGCCUGCCCGGUGAUUUUUUUAACGGCCGCGGUACUUUGACCGUGCAAAGGUAGCAUAAUCAAUUGCCUUAUAAUUGAAGGCUAGUAUGAAAGGUUUAACGAAAGUUAAGCUGUCUUUUUUUAAAUAAAAAGAAAUUAACUUAUAAGUGCAAAGGCUUAUAUGUAACUAAAAGACAAGAAGACCCUAUUGAGCUUAUAAAAAUAUUUAAGAUCAAGUAUAUAAAAAUUAUAAUCUUUCAGAAUUUUUAGUUGGGGCGACUUAGGAAUAAAUAUAACUUCCUAGUAUUAAAAUUACUUUUAUGUUUUUAUCCAAAAAUUUUUGAUUAUCAGAAUUAGUUACCAUAGGGAUAACAGCAUAAUCUUUCUUAGGAGUUCUAAUCGAAAGAAAGGAUUGUGACCUCGAUGUUGGACUAGAAUAUCCUAAAGGUGCAGAAGCUUUUAAGGGUUGGUCUGUUCGACCAUUAAUAAUUCUACAUGAUCUGAGUUCAGACCGGCGUAAGCCAGGUCAGUUUCUAUCUCUAGUUUAUUAAAUAGCUUUAGUACGAAAGGAUCAAGCUAAAGGAGCAAUAGCUCUUUUUUAAUGACAUUUAUAAUAAUAUUUUAAAAAUUAUAUA